AUUGAACGCUGGCGGCAGGCUUAACACAUGCAAGUCGAACGAGCGGCGGACGGGUGAGUAAUGCUUGGGAAACUGCCUGAUGGAGGGGGAUAACUACGGGAAACGGUAGCUAAUACCGCGUACCAUAAGAUGUGCCCAGGUGGGAUUAGCUAGUUGGUGGGGUAAUGGCUCACCAAGCCGACGAUCCCUAGCUGGUCUGAGAGGAUGACCAGCCACACUGGAACGGAGACACGGCCCAGACUCCUACGGGAGGCAGCAGUGGGGAAUAUUGCGCAAUGGAGGCAACCCUGACGCAGCCACGCCGCGUGAGUGAAGAAGGUCUUCGGGUUGUAAAGUUCUUCGUGCGAAGAAGCGUUAUCUACAGAAGAAGCAACGGCUAACUCCGUGCCAGCAGCCGCGGUAAUAC
rnacentral:rRNA from 1 species